UACGUAGGGUGCAAGCGUUGUCCGGAAUUAUUGGGCGUAAAGGGCUCGUAGGCGGUUUGUCGCGUCGGGAGUGAAAACCUCGGGCUUAACUCGGGGCUUGCUUUCGAUACGGGCAGACUAGAGGUAUGCAGGGGAGAACGGAAUUCCUGGUGUAGCGGUGGAAUGCGCAGAUAUCAGGAGGAACACCGGUGGCGAAGGCGGUUCUCUGGGCAUUACCUGACGCUGAGGAGCGAAAGCAUGGGGAGCGAACAGG
rnacentral:rRNA from 1 species